UUUUGUAGCAAUGUGUGGUGUCACAAAAGAUAAAUGGACCAUCUGAAACUGUGGAACACUUUAAAUACUAAUUUCAAAGGGAUAUGGGUGCACGUAUGGGUGAGGUGUUAGAAAGAAAAGCCAUGAGGAAGAUCUAGCUAAAGAGAUGGAACUAAAGCUUCUAGAUGUGACUUUGUAUUCACUAAGAGGAAUGUAAAAUAAGGGACUGACUAACAAAUUGGAAAGGUAUAAUAAGGGCAGAAAAAGGCAGUUAAUUUUGAAUUAAUUCUGUGUCUUGGUGUGACAUCAUCCCAGUGGUAUUUUUGGUUGAGGGCAAGAAACUAAAGUUGAGAAGUUUGAGGGCAUCCUUUAAUUGCCUUAGGGAUUUCAACAAAAUGCCAAGUAAUGCCGAAGGAAUGAGACUGCUCUGUGAUUCUGACUGUAAAGUCAGGAGCCAAAAGAGAAUAUGGUUGGGAUUGCUGAUCUGAUAGCCAGAUUGAUUAGAAGGUAUAUAUUCUUGUUGGUUCUAGGAGUCGUACUUGGCUAAUGGAUUGACCUGAUAAGUGCAUGCCUGUAGCAUGGAGGAAUGCAACACAAAAAAAAAAAAACAACAGACAACAGAAAGUUAAGGAACGUGGCCUUUUAAUACCAUUCAACUAACCUGAUGAGUUUGGUGCUUUCUUUUCAAAAUGUACAGAAAGGAAAACACUCUUCUUGGCAGAGUUUCCAACUUCCAGAAGUAUGCAUCAAUUAGAGAACUGAGGGUCAUUCUUGCCAUGCAUGCUGAUUAGCUGAGGCAGAUAUGGGAUGACAUCCUCAGACUAAUCUUCCAAGAGUGCAGUUAUACUUGCUCCAACUAGAAAUGCCAUUUCUUCCAUUCCUGAGCCAUUAUGGAUCUUGUCAUCCAGUUACUGUGUGGUAUCUCCAGCAUCACAGAGCCUUCAAGUGUUGUGUGGAUGGUGGUGGUACCUUUUCAGGGGGAGUCGUGCCAUCCAGUUGCCUUUGUUGACCACUGAUGAUAAUUAAGGGGAAACAAAAACCUGUAAUUCAGAGUGUCUGUUCAUUGCUUGAGAACGUGAUGACGAGGCUGAAGUCUCAGUAUCUAGUUGUGUGCACCGAGUGGGCCGUGGGAAGCACUGGCAGGAUUUUGCUCUGGGCAGCAGCAGGAGGUGUGCACAGGCAGGUGAUCGCUUCACCAUUAAUUCAAGGAGGAGCAAUGUUGGCAAGAAGGACUGAGAACUCAUUAUGACUCAGCAUAACUGGUGGGCUUGUGAUCUGAAGAAACCCCCUUACAAAACACCACAUCUGGAUUCCUUCCAGUUUUGGAUUGGAUGAGGCCUCUGACUUGGGAAUUCAGCAGCAGCCACUUUAUUUUUCUUCUAAACUUUAUUGAAUAUGCUGUCAAUUUGUUUCCAGGAGAUUGCAGAACUGUGGAGAAACCUUGCUGCGGGUUGUUUUGAGAGCAGCCCCCUCCAGUUCAUAUCAGAAAUGCAGUACCCCUACAUGGUGUCCUCUCCCUACAGCAGCAGAAGAAACCAGGAGCAGAUGUUAUUAAAAUUAGUGUGAAACAGCCAGGCCACAAGGCUUAUAAGCCAUUUUACUUCAUCCACAAGAUAAUACAUGAAAAACAGCAUCACCUCUAAGAUAUACUCCUGUAAUGGUCCCCUUCCCCAUAAGGACCAGAGCCUGCUGAAGAUCAGAGGAGACCCCUUCCAGUGAAGGACCUGGCCCCUGCCUCUUACAAUCUUCACAUUACCCAGGACUGGGUCUGACUUCAUGCCCCAUGGCGAGCUUGUGUCCUUUGUGCCAACUUGUUUACUGGUAAUGACGAUGCCUGAGAUCAUAAAAAAAAGGUUUCCUGACAGUCAUAUGGAAGGUAUUAGUUUGAUGGCACAAACACUUACAGUCGUUUAUAUUUUAUUUCUAGAAUUUUAUGGUUCAUCUUUUCAGCUGUUUUUUUUCUUCCUUGCAGAUUUCAAAUUAAGAGAGACCCCAAUUAAGACUACAGGUUUUGAGAUUGUUUUUUCUUUACUGCUUUUUUUUUUUAGAGGCCUAACCCAGUCCUAUAUGUGCAGUAAAAAACCUGAUCUCUUUCCAAGGAGCAGGUCUCUAUAUUAAAAAAGUAAAAGUUUACGCUUGCUUGGCUCCUUUGAUACUAACUUUGCGGUACUUUAGAGGUACUAGUUAAUUAAGUUCUGUGGAAUUGCUGUUACAGCAUAGACAAGGUGGAUAAAUUGAUAAAUAGAGGAGAAGCAUGAUUUCCCUAAAUUCAUAAUAGGAUGAAGUCAGCACUGUGAUGUUUUGUUUAGCCGCUUUAUAGAGGUUUAUGCAAUGUAAAAUUCUCUUGUUCAGUGCUCCAUUUUUCUAGCAUGUGUAAGACAGCAUUGCUAUGCCCAUUAUAAAGGUGAUCAUUGCCUUUGUGAGAGACCCAGUAAUAACCACAAUAUUUUCCUUACUUAUCCUUAAUCAGUCCCUUUGACUUUCUAAGUUUAGCUUCAUGUUUCCUCUAUGUUUCCAGUGCUAUAAAUAUCCUUACUGACAAACUGCUCUGUUUUUCUAAAGCACAUCUAGAUCUGUUUUUUGACAUUAUCAACUUGACCCAUAUCUCAGAUCCUCCUUACAGAAUUUCAGCACUACAGUUGCUUAUAAGGAAAGGUUAAAGCUAAAGCUAAUCAUCAUUUGUCUGUUUAUGGUGCAAAAGUCCCAUAUGAAAAUAUGGAGGGUAUUGCAUGCGUGCAUACAGAUGAACUCAUACAUUUCCAAAUAUUCAAUGUGGAAGAUGACAUGAAAAAAAAUUUGCUGACUUCUGAGUCCUUAGAAUAAAAUGCAUCAUUUCUCAGUAUCAUGAAUUUAGCUGAAGGAAAAUACGAUGAAGGUAAGGGUAGACUGACUUUUUUCCUCAGAAUUCUUCUUUAAGGUACUAACUUAAAAUGAUAUCUCAGCAAUGUGAAAAACAAAACAUUUGUACCAAACAGAAAACUGCCAAAAAAAGUUUACUUCUAUUUUAUGAAACAGGCUUCAGUAGAACAGUAGUUUUAGGACUAAUGUGUAUGAUCUUGAUCUAUUCUUGACCUAUUAAUAAAAUGGAAAA